ACGGGAGGCAGCAGUGGGGAAUAUUGCACAAUGGGGGAAACCCUGAUGCAGCAACGCCGCGUGAGUGAUGAAGUAUUUCGGUAUGUAAAACUCUAUCAGCAGGGAAGAAGAUGACGGUACCUGACUAAGAAGCACCGGCUAAAUACGUGCCAGCAGCCGCGGUAAUACGUAUGGUGCAAGCGUUAUCCGGAUUUACUGGGUGUAAAGGGAGCGUAGACGGCAUGGCAAGCCAGAUGUGAAAGGCAGGGGCUCAACUCCUGGACUGCAUUUGGAACUGUCAAGCUAGAGUAUCGGAGAGGUAAGUGGAAUUCCUAGUGUAGCGGUGAAAUGCGUAGAUAUUAGGAGGAACACCAGUGGCGAAGGCGGCUUGCUGGACGAUAACUGACGUUGAGGCUCGAAAGCGUGGGGAGCAAACAGGAUUAGAUACCCUGGUA
rnacentral:rRNA from 1 species